CUUUCCGGAAGCAGUGUGUGCUGGUAAAUGCCAGAAGCUCACUCAUCUGGUAACCUGUGAAAAUUCAUUGGAUGUGGGUGCCAUUGUACGUGCCUGUUCCUUAGCAUGCUUUCUGUGGCCUCACCGUCAACUAGAGCAUGGAGUGGAGAAUGGAGUGUCCGCUACUUGGUCCAGUGGGUAGGUUUGUCUGCUUUUGUCAACUCUGAUCUUAAUGGGGACCGAAUCUGUCUUGAAGUCUUUGAGCCAUGGGCACUAGCCUACAACCGUUGGGACACGGUAGGCUCUCAGCAAGUGUCAGUUACACUGAGACAUCUUUCAUCCUCUCGUAACACCUGCGUACAUCAGGAGUCCUCAGACUGCUUCUCUGCAGCACGUACCCGAGGAAUAAGAUAAGGCUCCAUCAGCACCUGGGUCUCCUCCAAAGCACGCCCAUCACAGUCCUUUUUAUAGGGAAGGAAGAACAAAGGGAAGAAAAUAGAAGGCAAACGAUACCUAGAAGGCAACCCAGAGAGUGAGACGAGCCUGUCCCUAUGGGGGGCUUUCAUGUAUCGCAUUCCUGUCUUGUUUCAAACCCUCUGCUGACUAGCCAGCUAUCGGCUGUGAACAUGGGCAACCCUCCUCCCUUGUCAUGCCUGCCUGGACUCCGUUACCCCGUCUGAAUAAAGGCACAGAACAACGCCUACCUACUCUUGUGAUCAUUACCCUAGAGAAGGUUAAUAA